CAGUCGCCACGGUAAAACGUAGGCGGCAAGCGUUGUCCGGAAUUAUUGGGCGUAAAGGGAGCGCAGGUGGGACGGUAAGUCCGUCUUAAAAGGCAGGGGCUCAGCCCCUGUAAGGGAUGGAAACUAUCGAUCUUGAGUGCCGGAGAGGAAAGCGGAAUUCCCAGUGUAGCGGUGAAAUGCGUAGAUAUUGGGAAGAACACCAGUGGCGAAGGCGGCUUUCUGGACGACAACUGACACUGAGGCUCGAAAGCCAGGGGAGCGAACGGGAUUAGAUACCCCAGUAGUCCCUGUCUCUUAUACA
rnacentral:rRNA from 1 species